GCUCACGUGGCUCAGUAGGUAGAGCACUUCCUUGGUAAGGAAGAGGUCACCGGUUCGAAUCCGGUCGUGAGCUCCA
rnacentral:tRNA from 1 species